rnacentral:sRNA from 1 species
UUGUUCAUUUUUUAACCAAAACAAGCCAGCCCUGCUAAGACCUUGCAAUAAAUCUCUUUUUUUUUGCGCAAACUUGCAUCAGCCCCGUUUACUUACUACAAGUAAUCGGUACUAUUUACGCCGGCGAAUGUCCCGCUCGGAGCGGGA